rnacentral:rRNA from 1 species
GACGAACGCUGGCGGCGCGCUUAACACAUGCAAGUCGAGCGAGAACCAGGGCUUCGGCCCUGGGGACAGCAGCGAACGGGUGAGUAACACGUGGGUAAUCCACCCUCGGCACCGGAAUAGCCCGGGGAAACCCGGAUUAAUGCCGGAUGGCCCGCCGGCCCUGCGGGGCUGGCGGAAAAGGUAGCUUCGGCCUCCGGCCGAGGACGAGCCCGCGACGGAUUAGCUUGUUGGUGGGGUAACGGCCUACCAAGGCUGCGAUCCGUAGCUGGUCUGAGAGGACGAUCAGCCACACUGGGACUGAGACACGGCCCAGACUCCUACGCGAGGCAGCAGUGGGGAAUCUUGCGCAAUGGGCGAAAGCCUGACGCAGCGACGCCGCGUGAGGGAAGAAGGCCUUCGGGUUGUAAACCUCUUUCAGGGGGGACGAAGCCACUCGGGUUAAUAGCCCAGAGGGUGACGGUACCUCCAGAAGAAGCCCCGGCUAACUACGUGCCAGCCGCCGCCGUAAUAC